CAUAUACUGUUGUGUCGAUAUUUUCUCCUCGGACCUUGAAAAUUUAUGGUGGGGAUACGCAAACUUCUCAACAGGCCGCAGCUGGUCUCCAAGGUGAAGAGUCUCUAGUCGAUAGAAUAAUGUAGGUAAGGGAAGUCGGCAAGUUAGAUCAGUAACUUCGGGAUAAGGAUUGGCUCUGAAGAUUGAGAUAGUCGGGCUUGAUUGGGAAACAAUAACAUGGUUUAUGUGCUCGUUCUGGGUAAAUAGAGUUUCUAUCAUUUAUGAUAGUUAUUUGUUCCCCGGAUAGUUAGUUACGAAGCCAAUUGUGGAACUUUCUUGCUAAAAUUUUUAAGAAUACUAAUUUAUAAUUAGCUCUUUUAAAUUAUAACGAUUAUCAAUUAACAAUCAAUUCAGAACUGUCACGGACUUAGGGAAUCCGACUGUCUAAUUAAAACAAAGCAUUGUGAUGGCCCUAGCGGGUGUUGACACAAUGUGAUUUCUGCCCAGUGCUCUGAAUGUCAAAGUGAACAAAUUCAAGUAAGCGCGGGUCAACGGCGGGAGUAACUAUGACUCUCUUUCACAUCUUGCAAAAAUGCUAUCGUACGCACGGGAGGCGGGUAGCUAGACACAACAGCGUAGUAAAUGCCGUCAAGCGGGGACUUGAACGGAAAGGCUGCGUUGUCCAUGUCGAACCAAGUCUGAAAUGCGACUCGGGCUUAAAUAAACCGGACCUGGGGGAAUCCGACAGAAUCACAUUUAUGUGAUAGACGUUCAGAUUGUGACAGACGGACAUUCCUUAGAUUAAGCGCACCAGCGCAAGGUCGAAAGGUACAACAGAGCUGACAUAAGAUCACAAAUGCGGCGAUUUUUCGGAGUGACAGGUGAAAUCGAGUUUCAUUCCGUUACACUCAACUGGAGAGGAAUCUGGAGCUGUCAGUCGGUAAAACGAUUGAUUGCAAUAGAUCUCCUCAUCGUUGAAGAUACCAAACUAAUCAGCGUCAGAGCAGUAAAUGGCGGAGUGACGUCUUUGAAAUAUUUCAUGUAUUGUGCUGGGUAAACUCGAAGCUAGAUGUACUAACCUCUAGUUUCUCUUAUAAUUUUGCCUGCUACCUUGGCAUUCCAUCUAAAAAGGUACAAACAUCGCAUUGUCAAAAAGAGGUGGUUUUAGUACGUAGGCGCUGUGGGACUUCAUUGUCCCGAUGAUGCAGCGAAUCGUGCAUACGAGAUUGUCCAGUAGUUGGUUGCUCGUAUCUUUAGAAGAUAGCCAAAUGCCUCGUCAUCUAAUUAGUGACGCGCAUGAAUGGAUUAACGAGAUUCCUUCUGUCCCUAUCUAGUGUCUAGCGAAACCACAACCAAGGGAAUGGGCUUGGAAUAAUUAGCGGAGAAAGAAGAUCCUUUUGAGCUUGACUCUAAUCUGGCAGUGUAAGGAGACAUAAGAGGUGUAGAAUAAGUGGGAGCUAUUAUUCCUUGUGUUUGAAAUCGCCAAUGAAAUACAACUACUCUUAUGGUUUCCUUACUUGCUUGAUUAAAUGGAACGUGUAUCAUUUCCUAGCCAUUAUACAGAUAUAUUUAUUAUAUCUUAUGGUAUUGGGUUUUGAUGCAAGCUUCUUGAUCAAAGUAUCACGAGUUUGUUAUAUAAUCGCAAACAAAUUCUUUAAUGAGAGAGUGCAUUUAUGUAUUUUUAAUUUGAAAUAUUUGGUAUAACUUCAAUUACUCAGGUAUGAUCCAAUUCAAGGACAUUGCCAGGUAGGGAGUUUGACUGGGGCGGUACAUCUCUCAAAUAAUAACGGAGGUGUCCCAAGGCCACCUCAGUGCGGACAGAAACCACACAUAGAGCAAAAGGGCAAAUGCUUAUCUGAUCUCGGUGUUCAGUACACACAGGGACACCAUCGGCCUAUCGAUCCUUUUGGUUUAAAGAGUUUUUAACAGGAGGUGUCAAAAAAGUUGCCAUAGGGAUAACUGGCUUUUUGGUCCUUCGAUGUCGGCUGUUCCUAUCAUUGUGAAGCAAAAUUCAGCGUUGGAUUGUUCACAUGUGUGUUGGAACGUGAGCUGGGCUUAGACCGUCGUGAGACAGGUUAGUUGUACCCUACUAAUGACAAAACGUUGUUGCGACAGCAUUCCUGCGUAGUACGAGAGGAACCGCAGGUACGGACCAAUGGCACAAUACUUGUUCGGACGAACAGUGGUAUGACGCUACGUCCGUUGGAUUAUGCCUGAACGCCUCUAAGGUCGUAUCCGUGCUGGACUGCAAUGAUAAAUAAGGGGCAAUUUGCAUUGUAUGGCUUCUAAACCAUUAAAAGUUUAUUUUAUAAACGACAAUGGAUGUGAUGCCAAUGUUAUUUGUAACAUAGUAAAUUGGGAGGAUCUUCAAUCACGUGAUGCUGCGCUAGUUACAUAUUAAAACAUUAUUUAAUACAAACGACAAAGCCUAGAAUCAAUUGUAAACGACUUUUGUAACAAGCAAGGUGUUGUAAGUGGUUGAGCAGCUCAGUGCGAUCCACUGAAGCUUAUCCUUUGCUUGAUGAUUCGAUUUUUUUUAAAU
rnacentral:rRNA from 1 species